rnacentral:rRNA from 1 species
UACGUAGGUGACCAGCGUUGUCCGGAUUUACUGGGCGUAAAGAGCGCGCAGGCGGUCGUUCAAGUCGAGUGUGAAAGCCCCCGGCUCAACUGGGGAGGGUCACUCGAUACUGAUCGACUUGAAGGCAGGAGAGGGAAGCGGAAUUCCCGGUGUAGUGGUGAAAUGCGUAGGAUAUCGGGAGGAACACCAGUGGCGAAGGCGGCUUCCUGGCCUGUUC